GAUGAACGCUGGCGGCGUGCCUAAUACAUGCAAGUCGAGCGAACAGAUGAGGAGCUUGCUCCUCUGACGUUAGCGGCGGACGGGUGAGUAACACGUGGAUAACCUACCUAUAAGACUUGGAUAACUUCGGGAAACCGGAUCUAAUACCGGAUAAUAUAUUGAACCGCAUGGUUCAAUAGUGAAAGACGGUUUUGCUGUCACUUAUAGAUGGAUCCGCGCCGCAUUAGCUAGUUGGUAAGGUAACGGCUUACCAAGGCAACGAUGCGUAGCCGACCUGAGAGGGUGAUCGGCCACACUGGAACUGAGACACGGUCCAGACUCCUACGGGAGGCAGCAGUAGGGAAUCUUCCGCAAUGGGCGAAAGCCUGACGGAGCAACGCCGCGUGAGUGAUGAAGGUCUUCGGAUCGUAAAACUCUGUUAUUAGGGAAGAAAAAAUGUGUAAGUAACUAUGCACGUCUUGACGGUACCUAAUCAGAAAGCCACGGCUAACUACGUG
rnacentral:rRNA from 1 species